UACGAAGGGUGCAAACGUUGCUCGGAAUUAUUGGGCGUAAAGCGCACGUAGGCGGCCUUGCAAGUCGGAUGUGAAAUCUUAUGGCUUAACCAUAAAAGUGCAUCCGAAACUGCAGUGCUUGAGUACUUAAGAGGAUCGCGGAAUUCCCGGUGUAGAGGUGAAAUUCGUAGAUAUCGGGAGGAACCCCAGUGGCGAAGGCGGCGAUCUGGGAAGAUACUGACGCUGAGGUGCGAAAGCGUGGGGAGCAAACAGG
rnacentral:rRNA from 1 species